CCUGCCAGAGCCCCGGGAGCUGCCCUGCCAAGACCUAUCCUGGGAGAGCUAUUGAAAGAGCCUCGAGAAAAGGGUCAGGGGACCCAGGGGAAGAGACCGAAGAGGUGGUAUAAUUGAGCCCAAGAGAAGUGACUUGCCCAAGGUUCAGCACUCUCCAAGAGGAAAUAGCAAAGCCAGAAUUAGGCUUAGAUUUUCUGCUCACCAGUCCAGAAACCCGCCUCACCAUGUUGCUCCAAACACAUUUUGAGGCUUUUAUCGGGACCAGAGAAGAUGUGAUGAUGUUGGAGCACAAAGACAUUGAACUGCUGGCUGAUGUCACGAGUAGCAGAGGGAGAGCGCACAGCAGGCCUCUCCCUGCCCCGGGGCCAAGCUUCUCCUCUGGUCCACCCACCGCCUCCCAUCUUCUCCAGAUCCUUCCCAUCCUCCGAGGAGGCCGCCCUCCAGCCCCGCUCUCGGAACACCUGCCCCUCGGUGGGGGACACUCACCAGAUCCGCUUCACAUGUGCAGCCCCUGGAGACACACCACAGAUGCACGUGGAGUCUCAGGGCCCCUUAGACACCAGGACCGGCCCCACGUGCCUCAGCGGCCUGUCAGCUGGUCUGUUGGUGUCUGGCAUACCUUAAGAAUGAAGCGAUUAUGUUUCCUCUUAAUCACGUUCUGUUGGCUUGAAGCUCACCUUGCAGGAUCUGGAGAUGCGGAUGCAGGGAAAAGCCAGACGCACGCUCGCAAACAUCCCCAUGGUCAAGCUGCCUGUGGGAGGCCAGCCUGUGUCACCUGGGUGCUCCCACCAGGAGCUGAUGCACACGCCUGCCAACCUGAGUGUAGCACAGAGACUUCGAGAGAAAUUGUCAUGCAUGAGGUGGCCACCGGAGCGUUCUCUUGAGGAAUCUCUAGAAUCUUUUCCACCCAGAGACCUAGGGAUGAGACAGGAGGAAGACGUAGCAAAUGCUUCCUCUAGGCUACUGAAUCAUUGCAAAGCCCUUCACUGAGGCCAUGCUACUCCUAGGUGCUGUGUUCACAGCUCUGUGGGAGAGAGAGACGAGCAAACAUGCAUGUUAGCGCAACGCAGACUGGGCCGAAUGCACAAAGAGAGGUGCAAACCUUCCCCGCCCCACACGCCCCCAAAUAUGGGUAAGCCAUUUACAGCAGGUGAGAAAAUGGCUUGAAGAUAUUUUAUUGCAUCUGGAGUUCUAGAGAAGAACCAUUCUAAUUUCUUUAGGCUUUGGGUUCUCAUUCCCGGGCCCUUUGCCCAAUGAAAGAAUGGAAAUAGGGCAGGAGGUCCACCUACUCUGCACGGUUGGGGUGCUUGGAUUGGGCACAAGUCUCCCCAAGGCUACAGGAAGAACCAUGGAAUGGGCUGCUAUCUGACCCAUCUCUCUGGGUUGUUUUGAG
rnacentral:lncRNA from 1 species